GCCGGGAUGGCGAAAUGGGAGACGCGAUGGAUUCAAAAUCCAUUGUCCGCAAGGGCGUGCGGGUUCGAAUCCCGCUCCCGGCA
rnacentral:tRNA from 2 species